rnacentral:lncRNA from 1 species
GGUAAUGUUAAUGACAUGAAUUAUUAUUUUUGGAUGUAAUAAUGUCUAUAUAGGGAAACACAGUAAAUUUUUUUGAAACAGUGACGUGUUGUCACAUUUUUUUUGUUUUUAUCUUUUGCAUAUCUAGUAAGAGAUUAUGUGUAUGUAUAUAUAUAUGGUAACUCAGUAAAUUUGAACACACGGACGUGUCGCCACAUUUUCUGUUUUAUCUUCUAUUUU